rnacentral:snRNA from 1 species
GGAUGUGAGGUCAAUCUGGCUGUGAUAUCUGUUGCCCCAUUGAUCACCAGGGUUGACUUCCUGGUCUGCUGGCUAAGUAGGUGACCACUUUCUCCCUCAUGGCUGCAUGUACAUCCCUCCCAAAGCUGGCGCUCAGUCAAAAAGAACAAUUUCCCUGAUACAGAAGGAUUGUUCUUUGGUCCAGGGUUUACGAGUAGCUCUGCUCCUCUGCUAGAACCUCCAAACAAGUCUCAAGAAAGUACUUUUAAAAACACUACAUUUAUUUACCUUGGAU